UUGGGAAUAUUGAAAGAAAUACCUGAGAAAUUCCAGACUCCAUUGGAGAGUAUGGGUGAAACUGUAAGGUAGAGAUCAUGCUUAUUAAGAGGUCCUUGUAUUAUUACCUCGCGAAGGAGAUGUGAAGCUUCAAUCCAUUUAUCUUCCUAGAGAUGGAUGUUAUCCAUAUUGUUGAUGUUCAGGAAAUUCCAUUAUAGAAUAAAGGAAAUGUUUCGACAAUACUCUUCCAAAUGUAUGAGUGAUAGGUUCGGGCCGUUGAGGUAUCAUUGAGGCUAAAGCAAGAAGGCUUGGACUAGAAUCUGCAAGUUUUGGUAUGCCCUCUAGUUUGAGGAUGCUACAACACACUCUAUCUUAGUAGUACUUGUAUUGUCUAGUAGACAUUUAUUUCUUUCCUAUUGUUGAAGAUAUUGAUGUAAGCACUAUGUGGCAAUUAUGAAUUUGUAUAAGGGCUUUGCUCGAAUUGUUUGACUUCGCUAGAUGAUUAAUAUGAGACAAAGUAUUUGACUAAA